rnacentral:rRNA from 1 species
GACGAACGCUGGCGGCGUGCUUAACACAUGCAAGUCGAACGGUGACCCUCGGAGCUUGCUUCGGGGUGAACAGUGGCGAACGGGUGAGUAACACGUGAGUAACCUGCCCCUGACUCUGGAAUAAGCGCUGGAAACGGCGUCUAAUACCGGAUAUGACACGAACGGGCAUCCGUAUCGUGUGGAAAGUUUUUCGGUCUGGGAUGGACUCGCGGCCUAUCAGCUUGUUGGUGAGGUAAUGGCUCACCAAGGCGAUGACGGGUAGCCGGCCUGAGAGGGCGACCGGCCACACUGGGACUGAGACACGGCCCAGACUCCUACGGGAGGCAGCAGUGGGGAAUAUUGCACAAUGGGCGAAAGCCUGAUGCAGCGACGCCGCGUGAGGGAUGACGGCCUUCGGGUUGUAAACCUCUUUCAGCAGGGAAGAAGCGAAAGUGACGGUACCUGCAGAAGAAGCACCGGCUAACUACGUGCCAGCAGCCGCCGUAAGAC